rnacentral:rRNA from 1 species
AGAGUUUGAUCAUGGCUCAGGACGAACGCUGGCGGCGCACUUAACACAUGCAAGUCGAGCGAGAACCGGGGCUUCGGCCCCGGGGAAAGCGGCGAACGGGUGAGUAACACGCGAGUCAUCCACCCUCGGUACCGGGAUAGCCCGGGGAAACCCGGAUUAAUACCGGAUGGCCCGUCUGCCCUUCGGGGCGGCCGGAAAAGGUAGCUUCGGCCUCCGACCGAGGACGAGCUCGCGGCGGAUUAGCUUGUUGGCGGGGUAACGGCCCACCAAGGCGACGAUCCGUAGCUGGUCUGAGAGGACGAUCAGCCACACUGGGACUGAGACACGGCCCAGACUCCUACGGGAGGCAGCAGUGGGGAAUCUUGCGCAAUGGGCGAAAGCCUGACGCAGCGACGCCGCGUGCGGGAAGAAGGCCUUCGGGUUGUAAACCGCUUUCAGGAGGGACGAAGCUACUCGGGUUAAUAGCCCAGAGGGUGACGGUACCUCCAGAAGAAGCCCCGGCUAACUACGUGCCAGCAGCCGCGGUA